CCUUCUCCAUGUCGCCUAAAAAUAAAGAGGGAGCAUCCAAGAGUUGGUUGCCCCAACAUUUUACACACCAACAUCUUGUUUCUCCUCUUCUUCUUGGUAUGUUUUCUUAAUAUUUUCUUACUAAUUUUUGGAUAUCAAAAAGAUACUUUUUUGCUAAUUAUACAACAGAAAAUUGAAGAAGAAAAGUUCUUCCCAAGAAGAGAAAGAUCAAGAAAGAAGAAGGGUCUUCUUUCUGGCGUGCAGCCUUGAAGAA
rnacentral:lncRNA from 1 species